rnacentral:rRNA from 1 species
CCUACGGGAGGCAGCAGUGGGGAAUAUUGCACAAUGGGCGAAAGCCUGAUGCAGCAACGCCGCGUGAAGGAAGAAGGCCUUCGGGUCGUAAACUUCUGUCCUUGGGGAAGAAGAACUGACGGUACCCAAGGAGGAAGCCCCGGCUAACUACGUGCCAGCAGCCGCGGUAAUACGUAGGGGGCAAGCGUUAUCCGGAAUUAUUGGGCGUAAAGAGUACGUAGGUGGCAACCUAAGCGCAGGGUUUAAGGCAAUGGAUCAACCAUUGUUCGCCCUGCGAACUGGCGCGCUGGAGUGCCGGAGGGGUAGGCGGAAUUCCUAGUGUAGCGGUGAAAUGCGUAGAUAUUAGGAGGAACACCAGUGGCGAAGGCGGCCUACUGGACGGUGACUGACGCUGAGGCUCGAAAGCGUGGGGAGCAAACAGGAUUAGAUACCCCUGUAGUC